rnacentral:lncRNA from 9 species
GGGCCUCUCUCCCCGGCACCCCGCCGCCAGCGCGCCCUGGGCUCCCCCUCCCCGGACCGUCCUCCAGGGGCCACCUCGAGCCCGCGCGGUCACAGAAGGGAGAGAAGACCCGGGAGUGAAGGGCUCCCCCCACCCCCAACACGGAAAUCGGGCCGGGAAAGAGCCGAUCCCUGGAGUGCCCACCCGAGCAGGUCGGGCCGGAGACGCGGCGGGCGGCUGAAGGGAAGGCUGGUGCCCCCCCCACCCCCCCGCCGACUCGUGCUGCACCUGGGAGCGAGUCUGGAGCGCCCCGGCUCUGAAGUCUAGGGGCUGCGGUCCUGCUGAGCCGAUGGGGGCCGGCGGGCCCACCCCGAACCGCCCUGCGUAGGUUUCGGGACCGCAGGUCAGGGAGUCCGCACAACCCCGCCGCCCCGCGAGUUCAAGCCCAGAUAGUCUCAGGACUGUGUGGGACACGAGAGUGAACUUUUUCGGGGUGAUUCUGACCUCUGCCCCCCAACUCAGCCACGGACACGGGGCUUUUUACCCUCCCUCCUGCCUCUCCGUCUGGAAACACAGGGCCAUUCGGUUCUGGCGACCUCAAACCGUUUGUGAUGGAGUUUGGUUAAAGUGGACACAUGGCUGGAUCACACACACGUCUACACAGCCUCUCCAUCCGGAGUCUGGGAGGAAAAGCGCUUUGUUGGCCGAGAGUGCGCAGGGGCCUGGGCUCUCCUCUGGCUUCCCUCCUCUGGUCCACCGCUGGGUUGGAGAACCCCUUCUUCUGUUGGGAGGGAGGUGUGGACGCGCACGACUUGUGUAUGGACAAGUGCAAAGCUGGAGGAGUGAGAAAACUUUAAUCCUACGGAGGCCGGAGCUCGCAGGUCUGCUCUUCCGCCAAGGGAUGAGCCAGGAUUCCCUGCAGAAGGAGCUGAGCCCUCUCCGGCCGGAGACCACUCCGCUGGCGGAAGCUUGGUUCCCUAAUUCCUUUACCAGGUGCAGCCCUGACUCUCCGAGCUCCACCCUCCCCUGCCCCAGUGUUUGCCCGCAGCCCCAACCGCAGGGAGCUGAUUUACUAGGGAUUCCGAUGGAUGAUCUCUGUUGGCUGGCACCCCAACUUUUCACUCAAGCACCACGAGACUGGAGGGUGAAGGUGACCAGGACUCAGAGCUGGAGGCUUCUGUACAGAACCUGCAUGACAACCCUUCAAGGUCCCUGUUGGAUGUGACAGCACCGUGUGGGUGUGUCAGAGCUGAACUCUUGUCUUCGGCCCCCGUGUCU